GAACGGGUGAGUAACACGUAGGUAACCUGCCGUUUGAGACUGGGAUACCCGAGCGAAAGUUCGGCUAAUACCGGAUAACAACGGAGACGGCAUCGUCUCCGCUUGAAAGGUGCGUUUGCACCACUCUUAGAUGGACCUGCGGCACAUUAGCUAGUUGGUGAGAUAACAGCCCACCAAGGCAAGGAUGUGUAGCCGACCUGAGAGGGUGACCGGCCACAAUGGGACUGAGACACGGCCCCAUACUCCUACCGGGAGGCAGCAGUAGGGAGUUUUCGGCAAUGGGCGAAAGCCUGACCGAGCAACGCCGCGUGAGUGAUGAAGGUCUUCGGAUUGUAAAGCUCUGUUACAAGGGACGAAUACCACGAUCAGGAAAUG
rnacentral:rRNA from 1 species